rnacentral:rRNA from 1 species
CGCCNUAAACGUUGGGCACUAGGUGUGGGGGGCCUUUUCCGGGUUUUCCGCGCCGUAGCUAACGCAUUAAGUGCCCCGCCUGGGGAGUACGGCCGCAAGGCUAAAACUCAAAGGAAUUGACGGGGGCCCGCACAAGCGGCGGAGCAUGCGGAUUAAUUCGAUGCAACGCGAAGAACCUUNNCAAGGCUUGACAUGUGCCGGUCGGCUCCGGAGACGGGGUUUCCUCCUUGUGGGGCCGGUUCACAGGUGGUGCAUGGUUGUCGUCAGCUCGUGUCGUGAGAUGUUGGGUUAAGUCCCGCAACGAGCGCAACCCUUGUCUCGUGUUGCCAGCACGUUGUGGUGGGGACUCGCGGGAGACUGCCGGGGUCAACUCGGAGGAAGGUGGGGAUGACGUCAAAUCAUCAUGCCCCUUAUGUCUUGGGCUUCACGCAUGCUACAAUGGCCGGUACAGAGGGCUGCGAUACUGUGAGGUGGAGCGAAUCCCUUAAAGCCGGUCUCAGUUCGGAUCGGUGUCUGCAACUCGACACCGUGAAGUUGGAGUCGCUAGUAAUCGCAGAUCAGCAACGCUGCGGUGAAUACGUUCUCGGGCCUUGUACACACCGCCCGUCACGUCAUGAAAGUCGGCAACACCCGAAGCCCGUGGCCCUACGGGGAGCGGU